GCUUUCUCUGGGCUCCUGAGGUUCUCCUUGCAGUGUCAUCACACCGACCCUUGCGACUCCUUCCCACCACGGAGGGAGGGGAUGGACUCUUGCUUCUUUUCCCAACUCCACCAAGAGGGACCGUCCCAGGACGUCCUUCCCCGGGCAUCCGGCCCUACAGCUGCCUGAGGUCUCCAUCACCAUUGGUGCCAUCAGUCUGCUGUGCAGCCAGCUCUUGGUUUGGAGAGCCUGAAGAAUUGCAGUUCACGUCUCAUCUAAAGGAGCUGAAAUGAUAUUGCAGCUUUUUCUUUUGGUUGUGUGCGGUGAGAAUCUGGGAGC
rnacentral:lncRNA from 1 species